rnacentral:rRNA from 1 species
AUUAAACGCUGGCGGCAUGCCUUACACAUGCAAGUCGAACGGCAGCACGGGGGCAACCCUGGUGGCGAGUGGCGAACGGGUGAGUAAAGCAUCGGAACGUGCCCUGGAGUGGGGGAUAACGUAGCGAAAGUUACGCUAAUACCGCAUAUUCUGUGAGCAGGAAAGCAGGGGAUCGCAAGACCUUGCGCUUUGGGAGCGGCCGAUGUCGGAUUAGCUAGUUGGUAGGGUAAAGGCCUACCAAGGCGACGAUCCGUAGCGGGUCUGAGAGGAUGAUCCGCCACACUGGGACUGAGACACGGCCCAGACUCCUACGGGAGGCAGCAGUGGGGAAUUUUGGACAAUGGGCGCAAGCCUGAUCCAGCCAUGCCGCGUGAGUGAAGAAGGCC